ACGCACGCUGGCGGCGUGCCUAAUACAUGCAAGUAGAACGCUGAAGGAGGAGCUUGCUUCUCUGGAUGAGUUGCGAACGGGUGAGUAACGCGUAGGUAACCUGCCUGGUAGCGGGGGAUAACUAUUGGAAACGAUAGCUAAUACCGCAUAAGAGUAGAUGUUGCAUGACAUUUGCUUAAAAGGUGCAAUUGCAUCACUACCAGAUGGACCUGCGUUGUAUUAGCUAGUUGGUGGGGUAACGGCUUACCAAGGCGACGAUACAUAGCCGACCUGAGAGGGUGAUCGGCCACACUGGGACUGAGACACGGCCCAGACUCCUACGGGAGGCAGCAGUAGGGAAUCUUCGGCAAUGGACGGAAGUCUGACCGAGCAACGCCGCGUGAGGGAAGAAGGGUUUCGGAUCGUAAAGCUCUGUUGUAAGAGAAGAACGAGUGUGAGAGUGGAAAGUUCACACUGUGACGGUAUCUUACCAGAAAGGGACGGCUAACUACGUG
rnacentral:rRNA from 1 species